UACGUAGGGUCCGAGCGUUGUCCGGAAUUAUUGGGCGUAAAGAGCUCGUAGGCGGUUUGUCGCGUCUGCUGUGAAAUCCCGAGGCUCAACCUCGGGCCUGCAGUGGGUACGGGCAGACUGGAGUGCGGUAGGGGAGACUGGAAUUCCUGGUGUAGCGGUGAAAUGCGCAGAUAUCAGGAGGAACACCGAUGGCGAAGGCAGGUCUCUGGGCAUUAACUGACGCUGAGGAGCGAAAGCAUGGGGAGCGAACAGG
rnacentral:rRNA from 1 species